rnacentral:rRNA from 1 species
GACACUGAGGCACGAAAGCUAGGGGAGCGAAACAGAUUAGAUACCUGUGUAGUCCUAGCCGUAAACGAUGCUCGCUAGCUCUUGGCCGCAAGGUCGGGGGUGUAAGCUAACGCGUUAAGCGAGCCGCCUGGGGAGUACGGCCGCAAGGCUAAAACUCAAAGGAAUUGACGGGGACCCGCACAACCUGUGGAGCGUGUGGUUCAAUUCGAGACGAAACGAAGGACCUCACCAGGGUUUGACAUGCUACCGUACAUUCUUUCAGAAAUGAGAGGAAAUCCGCAAGGAUGGUAGCACAGGUGCUGCAUGGCUGUCGUCAGCUCGUGCCGUGAGGUGUUCCCUUAAGUGGGGAAACGAGCGCAACCCCCAUCCAAUGUUACAUAUUCAUUGGAAACAGUCCUUGUUUUACAAGGAAGGAAGGCGGGGUAGACGUCAAGUCAGCACGGCCCUUAUACCCUGGGCCACACACACUACAAUGGCGAAAAACAAUGAGCUGCAAGCUAGCAAUAGUAAGCUAAUCUCUGAAAUUUCGCCUCAGUUCAGAUUGGGGUCUGCAACCCGACCCCAUGAAGCCGGAAUAGGUAGUAAUCGCGGAUCAGCAAGCCGCGGUGAAUACGUUCUCGGGUCGUGUACACACCGCCCGU